CCUGAGCGGGGUAAAGCCAGA
rnacentral:snRNA from 1 species